UCAUGUUCACCACAACUGUCCUCACCUGCAUUGCUUUUGUUAUGCCGUUUAUAUACAGGGGAGGCUGGAGUAGGCAUGCAGGUUACCACCCAUACCUCGGCUGUAUAGUGAUGACUUUGGCAGUUCUUCAGCCUCUUCUGGCAGUCUUCAGGCCACCUUUACAUGACCCAAGAAGGCAAAUGUUUAACUGGACUCAUUGGAGUAUGGGAACAGCUGCUAGAAUAAUAGCAGACUUAAAACAAUCUGGAAAAUGUGGGUGCAUCUCUUUUAAGGAUUGGUAGAUUACGCAGCCAUAAAAAAGAAUGAAGUCAUGUCUUUUGUAGCAACAUGGAUGCUGCUGGAAGUGAUUAUCCUACAUGAAUUAAUGCAGAAACAGAAAAUCACAUACCACAUGUUCUCACUUAUAAAUUGGCAGCGAUGUUCCUGGGAAUGGAUUUACC
rnacentral:lncRNA from 1 species